GACGAACGCUGGCGGCGUGCUUAACACAUGCAGGUCGAGCGGUAAGGCCCUUUCGGGGGUACACGAGCGGCGAACGGGUGAGUAACACGUGGGUGACCUGCCCUCAGCUCUGGGAUAAGCCUGGGAAACCGGGUCUAAUACCGGAUAUGACUCCAUGACGCAUGUUGUGGGGUGGAAAGCCUUGUGCGGCUGAGGAUGGGCCCGCGGCCUAUCAGCUUGUUGGUGGGGUGANGGCCUACCAAGGCGACGACGGGUAGCCGGCCUGAGAGGGCGACCGGCCACACUGGGACUGAGACACGGCCCAGACUCCUACGGGAGGCAGCAGUGGGGAAUCUUGCGCAAUGGGCGAAAGCCUGACGCAGCGACGCCGCGUGAGGGAUGACGGCCU
rnacentral:rRNA from 1 species